CAAAGUUGUUCGUGUUUAUGACGUCGAAUAUCGACGUCAUAAACACCAAAGUUGUUCGUGUUCAUGACGUCGAUAUUCGACGUCAUAAACACCAAAG
rnacentral:miRNA from 1 species